UUUACAUGUAUUGGACUAUCACUAUGGGAUGUAGUGAGUUUUCAUUUGCCUAUCAACUCCUCUUUGAAGCAUGGACUCUUCCAUGACACUACUGUUUGACGCAAAGAGAUAUUUUCUACAAAAGAGGAUACCAGACUGCGAGUAGAAAUGGUAUCGAUCCAGACAGAUAGAUCUACUGCAUGUGCAGGUGUCACCUGGAGCACUCUGUCACCCUGUGGGAAAUGGGACUUGGGAACCAGUGCUAGAAAAUGCUGACACUCUGGCUGCUGCUCUUGCCCUGAUU